ensembl:sense_intronic
AGAAUAAAUAGUUUCUGACUUGGCCUUGGAUUUUGUCCUUCUUUGUAAGGUAACUUUGCCAGGUAAAUAUGAUGGUUCUUAAUGUUUGCACUAAAAAAGAGUCUUUUUUUAUUUGAAAUCAUAAGACUUUGGAAUUUACUGCAAGUAUUUUUCUAACCCUGUUUAUGUAAGGAUGGUUUGCUGGAGUUCUAAAGAUAGCAUAAGAGCAUGUUUACCUUGAUGAACACUUGUAGAGUGAUGAGUAGGUUGUGACCGAAAAUAAAUCUCAGUAAGUCAUUAUAAAUUUAUAAGUCAUUGUUACGCAGUAUUUGGCUACCACUUAUGUUAUUCUAGUUAAAUUUAGUUCCACUCUAAGGGAUAUAUGAAAAUCUACUCAAUCACUUUGUCCCAAAAUUCUCAUAUUUAAGGUCAGUUCUGGCAUGUAAUAUUAGAGGGAAGAAAAUAUUACCCAUUGCUUUCUACGUAUUAGAUACUUAUGUAUGUACUUAAUAGACUAGCUAUGUACUAUAGGCUAGCCAGUUAGUUUGGCAAAGAUGACACAGAUAACAAGAGGAGCUCCAGGCUUCCAGAGGGGAAGACUGCAGGAAGACCCAGGACAGGUAGGAAGUGCAGAGCUGCACCUGACUGAGGAUUCUGGAAAGAAUACACAGCACACUAUAUUUAAUGGAGGAAGACUGAGCCUGGAAGACAGAGAUAUGACCUCUCUCUAUGUGUCCAGAUUUGCUUAUUUGCUUCUCAUACUUUUUCUUGUUUCAACCCAUCUCUUUGUGCCUUCUCCUGCUUCUGGAUCUGAUGUCUCUGAAGGGCUCCGAUUCCCAAGGCUCUGCUUCCUGGGACCUGCCACCCUGUCUUCUGCAGAGUUCAGUUAAUGUCAUGGUUCUCCACCAGCAGACUCCUAAAAGGGCUUUUAUAGUUACCCAUACCCAGGCUGCAUCUAGAUCAGUGACAUCAGACUCUGGUGUGUAUUUUCCAAAAUCCCUAGAGGGUUUCACUCUGCAGCCAAGGUUAAGAAUGCUAGGCUAAUUAGAUGCAUGGCUGACAGAAAGUCUGGAAAGAUCCAGGGCAUUUUUCUGCCUUUCCAGAAUAUGUAGCAUGGCCCUCUAUUCCUUAAUCCUUUUAAGUGGUCCUUUCCUUGCCUUCAGGACUUCUCACACAUACCUGUGGUAAUUGGUACUCAGGGAAACUGCUCUUGUAGUAGGUCAUUCCACUGCUGUACUCUGAGAACUAGGUGUUUUCAACUCAAGAUAUCUCUGCACUGUAUCAGACACCAUCUCUGGAGCAUGCCUGUCUAACUUAUGGGUCCAUCUACUGUGUGGACGUUUCCUCUCUUUACUUCACUUGGCCAUUCAAAGGCUGCUUGCAGUAACCACAGUUUCAGGCUUCUCCAUUUUCUCCCUUAAAGUACUCAGAAUAAGACAGAUUGGUGCCUGUUUCCCUGGUUAGAUGAUGACUCAUAGAGCAUCCUACAGCCUAGGAAGAAUUCUGGUGACAGUGGUGGCCACUGUGAUGAAAUAGAAUGGAAGUCAACAACUUCCUUGUUUUUUUCCACCUAGACAAAGUUUCACUGUGUUGCCCUAGCUGGCCUGGAACUCUCUGUGUAGACCAGGCUGGCUUCAAACUUAUCUGCUGCCUCUGCCUCCUGAAUGCUAGGACUAAACGUGUGUGCCUCCAUGCCUGGCUAACUCACUUCUUGAUUUAAAAGCAAGACAAUGGUGGAACUUUAACAACCUCUGUUUCCCUUUUAAUUUAGAAGAACAGCAGUUCUUUUAAAAAAACAUUUCCUCCUGGACUGACCAGAUGAUUCAGCAGGUGUCUGCCACCAAGCCUGAUGACCCAACUUUAGUCACCAGAACACACUUUAGGAGAAAACCAAUUCCUUUGAGCUGUCCUCUGCCCUCCACACACACCUAUGCAUGCCACCUCCCAGCCCCCAGAAAGCUAAUAAGUAGGAAACAGUUAUUAAAGUAUUUGAUCACAGUAAAAUGUUCUAAAUGACAUAAUUAAGUUUGCAAUUAUGUUAUAUGUGCUCUAAAUGAUCAAUUGUUGGUUUGUAUUAUUUAAAAUAGCCAGGGUAAUUGUGCAAUUUAGUUGAAUAAUUACCUGGGCCUUGAGAAUCUCAGAUUAAUUGGAUACAAGGAAUGUGUGCUAAAUGGGCUGGGAAAGACAAAGGCUAUUGAAGGUCAAAUGCUGGCAUGAGCAGUGUGACCUUUCUUUGGUGGCAGAUGGGAAUCAUAGCAAGGUUCAAUGCAAACAAGAUCUCAUUUUUCACAUGAGGUGGUCACUACACUACAGAGUGUGGCCUACAGCCAACUCUGAAGUUGGAGCCGACAGAGAACAUUCUUAAAGAGUCCCUGUGUGAGGCAGGAACUGUUUGAACUGCAGAAGUAGCAGCAGACAUUGACAGACACACUUUGGCAAGGUGAAGCUGAUGGACUGGAUCAGUAAGUGGGAGGUUACAGACCCUGAUGUGUCCAGGUAGCUCUGAAAUAGGAAAUCC